CCUUGAAAGCCACCCAUCUUGGACCAAUCAACACUGGAGCACAACGACCAUCACACUUCUUUCUUGGAGGCAUAUCAUGAUCUCUAGCCAACCACACCUGUUUGCAAUUCAUCCAAGCCAUCUAGUAGAUCAGCUCACUCAGCAUCCCACUCAAACUAGUUUCCAAUAGCAAUAGAUUGGUACUAGAAAAAAAAUCUUGAUCCUAUUAUCGGAUAUUCCAUUAGAUGAUAGAUAAGUCAGACAUGAA
rnacentral:lncRNA from 1 species